AUUGAACGCUGGCGGCAUGCCUUACACAUGCAAGUCGAACGGUAACAGGUCUUCGGAUGCUGACGAGUGGCGAACGGGUGCGUAAUACAUCGGAACGUGCCCGAUCGUGGGGGAUAACGAAGCGAAAGCUUUGCUAAUACCGCAUACGAUCUACGGAUGAAAGCAGGGGACCGCAAGGCCUUGCGCGAACGGAGCGGCCGAUGGCAGAUUAGGUAGUUGGUGGGAUAAAAGCUUACCAAGCCGACGAUCUGUAGCUGGUCUGAGAGGACGACCAGCCACACUGGGACUGAGACACGGCCCAGACUCCUACGGGAGGCAGCAGUGGGGAAUUUUGGACAAUGGGCGAAAGCCUGAUCCAGCCAUGCCGCGUGCAGGAUGAAGGCCUUCGGGUUGUAAACUGCUUUUGUACGGAACGAAAAGACUCUGGUUAAUACCUGGGGUCCAUGACGGUACCGUAAGAAUAAGCACCGGCUAACUACGUG
rnacentral:rRNA from 1 species